UCAGACUCGCGGCACCGAGCUCAGUAACACGUGGCCAAACUACCCUACAGAGACGGAUACCCUCGGGAAACUGAGGUUAACCCGUCAUACCGAUCUCAGGCUUGAAUCGCAGAGAUCACAAAACGCCCCGGCGCUGUAGGAUGUGGCUGCGGUUGAUUAGGUAGACGGUGGGGUAACGGCCCACCGUGCCCAUAAUCAGUACAGGUUGUGAGAGCAAGAACCUGGAGACGGAAUCUGAGACAAGAUUCCGGGCCCUACGGGGCGCAGCAGGCGCGAAACCUUUACACUGCACGCACGUGCGAUAAGGGGACUCCGAGUGCGAGGGCAUAUCGUCCUCGCUUUCGUGUACCGUAGGGUGGUACACCAACAAGGGCUGGGCAAGACCGGUGCCAGCCGCCGCGGUAAUACCGGCAGCCCGAGUGAUGGCCGAUCUUAUUGGGCCUAAAGCGUCCGUAGCUGGCUGCGCAAGUCCGUCGGGAAAUCCACUCGCUCAACGAGUGGGCGUCCGACGGAAACUGCACAGCUUGGGACCGGAAGGCUCGAAGGGUACGUUCGGGGUAGGAGUGAAAUCCCAUAAUCCCGCACGGACCACCGAUGGCGAAAGCACUUCGAGAAAACGGAUCCGACAGUGAGGGACGAAAGCCAGGGUCUCCAACCGGAUUAGAUACCCGGGUAGUCCUGGCCGUAAACAAUGUUCGCUAGGUAUGACACAGACUACGCGUCUCUGUUGUGCCGUAGGGAAGCCG
rnacentral:rRNA from 1 species